rnacentral:lncRNA from 1 species
UAGGUGAUUUGGAAGAGAAAAUUCAUCAUCAUUUCAUAGGUUAGCACACUCUAACUCAUUUUUUUCCAUUUCCAACACCACCCAUGAAUUUUUAGUUUUAAUCUUUAUACUUUCAUAGUAGAAAAUUAAGCAUUUGGGAAGAAUUACAGUUUUUGCAUAUUUGGAAUUUAGACCUCAAAUUGGGGUUGGAUUUCGAAACUAAUUAUAUAAUCAAGCUCAGGAGCAAAUGGGUAAAUGUAUUUUAGUCCGAAUCUUGGGUUUGACCAAGCGACUCAGGGUUGACUUUCUUUGGCUUUUUGAAAAAAGUGUAAAAAUCCUAAUUUUAUGUAUUAUAAUAUAUUUUCCUAGCAUUAUUUGAUGUUAUCAAGUCGAUUUUGGUUAGAUACGAUUGGUUUGGAGGCGGAUUCUAAAGGAAAGGUCAUGGUAGAGCUUUGAGUUGAUUGCGGAGUAAGGUAAGUGUUGGGUUUAAACUUGAUUUGAGGAAAUUAGGGACUCUUGAGUUAUGUGCUAUGUGAAAUUCAUGUGUUGCCGCGUAUAUGCAAGGUGACGAGUGUAUAUACGCCGCUAAAAUAUUUGUUUCCAUAUUUUCCAUAUUUUAUUAAUUAUUUCAUUACAUGUCUUAACUGUUACAUGCUUUAAAUGCUUCCCAUGCCUUUAUUUUCUAUUUAUCACUUAUUAUUCUCGUGUUAAAAAUGUUAGAUUCUCCCAUGCUUCCAUAGUUUACUGCUACUUGCCUGAAGUGAUUUACUUGUACCCUUAGUUGUUAUUUAUUUGAAUUGUCUUGCUGUUAGUAUUCAUUACAAUGGAUUCUUAAUUUGAGAGGAGAUUUCCUUUCCGGUUCUGCUUCAUAUCCAUUAACUGUAGGGAAAUCUUGUGAUUCAGGUUGUUAAAUUAAUUGUGCUUAUUGAUUUAUUCAUGUUGUACAGUGGGAUCUGAUUGCGCGCAAUAAGUAAAAUAAAGAUGGACUGAUGGCAAAAUAAAGGUGAAUUUAUAUAAAUAUGGUGGGAUCGGGUUGCGCGCCGCAACAUGUGAAAUAAGGGUGGUCGAUUGAUAUGGUGAAAUAAGGAUGAAUUAUGAUAUUGAUUUGAUUAUAUGAUGGGAUUAGGUUGCGAAGCACAACAUAUGUUUAUUUCUUAUUUUUGAUAUUACUAUGGCCCGAUAAGGGAGAAUUAUGUUGUACGGUGGGAUUGGAUUGCAGGACACAAUAAUUUAUGUGUUUCUAUUCCUUAGUGUGUUGUGUUGGCUUUUGUACUUUCAUACGAGACUCUAAGGAUUGAUAUUUUUAGCGUUUAAUGGUUUUCCUUCGCUGAUUUAUGUUAACUGUUUUAAAUUUGUUUUUGUAUCUUUCUUUAAUGUCUUUGUUUUAUACUGCGUACAUGUUACUAUAAGUGACUGUUUAGCCUCGUCAGUACUUCGUCGAGGUUAGGCUCGACACUUAUAGAGUACACGGGGUCGAUUGUACUUAUACUACACUCUGCACUUCUUGUGCAAAUUUUGGUACUGGUCCCAGCUGUACGUGAGGUGCAUCAGCUCAAAUUAUCACAUUUGGAGACUUGAGGUAGAUCUACUGACGUACGCAGACCUUGAAGUCCCCUUCCUCCUUCCUCUAUUACCGUUCAUUUCAUUCGAAAUAAUUGUGGCUAUUUCAAACUCUAUUUGUAGUACUUAUAGUAGCUCGUGCACUUGUAACUUCAGAUCCAGUUAUUCUUAGAUAUUUUAGUUAUUAUAUCUUUUCGCACAUUAUUCCAGUUUUUUAUCUCAAUUUAAUUGGUUUUAAUUACUGAAUUGUUUAAAAUGGCAUACAAUUUACUCUAAUAUUUAUUUGCCUGGUGAGUGAAAUGUCAGAUGCCAUUGCGACGUUGAAAGUAAAAUUUCCCGC